AUUUCACCUUUCUCAGUAAUCUGGGUGUAGCUUAUUUUGACUCUUCCUUUGAUUAAACAAUUCAGACCCUUGGCUCUUAUUGUUCUUGCUGGUGUGGUAUGUUCACGGCUGAAAAGAUGGUCAGAAGGGGAAAGGAGGAAGUGAGAAGAAAGAAACAGGGAAAUGACAGAGUGUUGCUCAGUUACCCAGGCUGGAGUGCAAUGGCAUGAUCUUGGCUCACUGCAGCCUCCACCUCCUGGGUUCAAGCGGUUCUCGUGCCUCAGUCUCCCAAGUAGCUGGGAUUACAGCAGGCUGAGGAAUUACCAAGGAGGCAGGAGGUGGAGCAAAACACACCAAGCCUGGUGCCAAUCAUUGACAAUAUUAUGACCCUGCAUGUGAUGGAUCAGCUGACACCAUCCAGAUCGGUAAACUGGUUCAUCUGAUCUUGUGCCCUCCACCCAGGAACUGACUCAGCGCAAGAAGACAGCUUCGACUCCUUGUGAUUUCAUCCCUAACCAAUCAGCACUCCUGGCUCACUGGCUUCCCCCAACCCACCAAAUUGUCCUUAAAAACUCUGCUCUCCAAACGCUGGGGGAGACUGAUUUGAGUAAUAAUAAAACCCUGGUCUCCUGCA
rnacentral:lncRNA from 1 species